UUUAAUUCGAAGCAACGCGAAGAACCUUACCAGGUCUUGACAUCCCUGACACCCGAGAGAUCGGGCGUUCCCCUUCGGGGGACAGGGUGACAGGUGGUGCAUGGUUGUCGUCAGCUCGUGUCGUGAGAUGUUGGGUUAAGUCCCGCAACGAGCGCAACCCUCGACCUUAGUUGCCAGCAUUCAUUGGGCACUCUAAGGUGACUGCCGGCUAAAAGUCGGAGGAAGGUGGGGAUGACGUCAAAUCAUCAUGCCCCUUAUGACCUGGGCUACACACGUGCUACAAUGGGCGGUACAAAGGGUCGCGAACCCGCGAGGGGGAGCCAAUCCCAAAAAGCCGCUCUCAGUUCGGAUUGCAGGCUGCAACUCGCCUGCAUGAAGCCGGAAUCGCUAGUAAUCGCGGAUCAGCAUGCCGCGGUGAAUACGUUCCCGGGCCUU
rnacentral:rRNA from 1 species